rnacentral:rRNA from 1 species
CGCGUAGGUGGUUGGGUAAGCGUGUGGUGAAAGCCCGGGGCUCAACCCCGGGUCGGCCAUGCGAACUGCCCGACUGGAGCACGGUAGAGGCCAAUGGAAUUCCGGGUGUAGCGGUGGAAUGCGUAGAGAUCCGGAAGAACACUGGUGGCGGAGGCGGUUGGCUGGGCCGUGGCUGACACUGAGGCGCGACAGCGUGGGGAAGCAAACA